UACGGAGGGGGCAAGCGUUAUUCGGAAUCAUUGGGCGUAAAGGGCGCGUAGGCGGCCUGGCAAGUCAAAGGUGAAAUCCCUCGGCCCAACCGAGGAACUGCCUUUGAAACUGCAAGGCUCGAGGCCGGGAGAGGGUAGCGGAAUUCCCAGUGUAGCGGUGAAAUGCGUAGAUAUUGGGAGGAACACCAGUGGCGAAGGCGGCUACCUGGACCGGUUCUGACGCUGAGGCGCGAAAGCGUGGGGAGCAAACAGG
rnacentral:rRNA from 1 species